rnacentral:rRNA from 1 species
AACGAACGCUGGCGGCAUGCCUAACACAUGCAAGUCGAACGAGACCUUCGGGUCUAGUGUCGCACGGGUGCGUAACGCGUGGGAACCUGCCCUUAGGUUCGGAAUAACUCCCCGAAAGGGGUGCUAAUACCGGAUAAUGUCUUCGGACCAAAGAUUUAUCGCCUUUGGAUGGGCCCGCGUUGGAUUAGCUAGUUGGUAGGGUAAAAGCCUACCAAGGCGACGAUCCAUAGCUGGUCUGAGAGGAUGAUCAGCCACACUGGGACUGAGACACGGCCCAGACUCCUACGGGAGGCAGCAGUGGGGAAUAUUGGACAAUGGGCGAAAGCCUGAUCCAGCAAUGCCGCGUGUGUGAUGAAGGCCUUAGGGUUGUAAAGCUCUUUUACCCGGGAUGAUAAUGACAGUACCGGGAGAAUAAGCUCCGGCUAACUCCGCG